ACCAAUUCGGACAUUCUGGCAGAUGUGGAAGGGUCUGAGACGUGUUCAGCAUCCUCUGACAGCAGCUCCGUGGCUCCGGCCGGGAACAGGAGGAGGCUGCGGCGGCCGCACGUCCCCGAGAGCAGCGGGGCGACGCCGCGGGGCAAGAGGAAGAGGAGCUAGUGCUGCCAGCGUGCCCGGCUCAGCCUGGGCAGCCCCCCGGCCCUCCCAUCCUCUGCGUGUCUGGCUGCUGAGUACAGCUCUGUUCUCACAUCCUGCCAUCCCAGCUGCCUUCCUGACCAGGCUGGCGGCUUCGCCCGCAGCCCCGUGGGCCGCCGGUGGCCGAGGGUGGGCACAGAGUGGCAGAGCCCCGCGGGACUGACCUGGCUGCCGUGCCCAGCUCCCUCGCUCUGCAGCACCUGGCUGCGUGCUGCCACUGUCCUGCUUGUGUCCUGUGCCAGCCUCACCUGCCCCUGGGAGCGGCUGCAGGACGCUGUUUGUUUGGGCGUGGGCAGGUACUGGUGCCCCAGUUCUGGCACUGCCAGGGGAGGGAGGGACCAAGGAGUGCAGGGAGAUUCUGCCCUGCACUGGCAGGCUUUGUUAUAUGUCUGUGUAAACUUACUCAGUAUUGUGUGUCAUUAUUUCAGUUUGGAGUCCUGAAACUGGGAAGGGAAGGCUGUUGGACAUGCAGCAUUUUAGCUUUCAAGCACACAGUUACAUUGAAAAGUCUGAUCUUCCUUACGAGGUGGUGGGAUUUUGUGAUGCAACGAAGCACUGCAAAAAAAAAGAAGGAAAUGCAAGAAACCUGAACACCAGGGAAGGCUUUGAAAAAUAAAGCUUGUAAGAAAAUAUGAAAAUACUUCAGGUGCUUUUGCUGAGCCCUGAAGUUUCGGUCAGAGCCUGUCAAUGGGAGCUUGGAAAAGAAGACACAAAGUGUGGGUAAGAUUGAGGGUUAUGGUGUCUUGACUUCAGAGUGAAGCUGGGAUUCAGAAAUAAUCCUCCUCCAGCCGUAGUUCCCAGAAAUAUUUGUGUUUGGAACAGGCUAAAUCAUGGCAGAUAUGAACUAUCCUAAGUUCAUGAUGUGGAGAGAUGCAGAGGCAAAGGAGAAAUCUGGCUGUGUUGAUUUGGUUAAUUUGGUUAUUUUUUUACUAAACCAAACCUUUUGAAAAACAGUAA